UACGUAGGGUGCGAGCGUUAAUCGGAAUUACUGGGCGUAAAGCGUGCGCAGGCGGUUCGUUGUGUCGGCGGUGAAAGCCCCGGGCUUAACCUGGGAAUGGCCGUCGAAACUGGCGAACUGGAGUGUGGCAGAGGGGGGUGGAAUUCCGCGUGUAGCAGUGAAACGCGUAGAGAUGCGGAGGAACACCGAUGGCGAAGGCAGCCCCCUGGGCUGACACUGACGCUCAGGCACGAAAGCGUGGGGAGCAAACAGG
rnacentral:rRNA from 1 species